AAAUGAUGUGUGUGUGUGUGUGUGUGUACAUAUAUAUAUAUAUACAUACAUACAUACACAUACACACACGCACACACAUACACACACAAA
rnacentral:miRNA from 11 species